UGGGGAAUAUUGGACAAUGGGGGCAACCCUGAUCCAGCCAUGCCGCGUGAGUGAUGAAGGCCCUAGGGUUGUAAAGCUCUUUUGUGCGGGAAGAUAAUGACGGUACCGCAAGAAUAAGCCCCGGCUAACUUCGUGCCAGCAGCCGCGGUAAUACGAAGGGGGCUAGCGUUGCUCGGAAUCACUGGGCGUAAAGGGUGCGUAGGCGGGUUUCUAAGUCAGAGGUGAAAGCCUGGAGCUCAACUCCAGAACUGCCUUUGAUACUGGAAGUCUUGAGUAUGGCAGAGGUNAGUGGAACUGCGAGUGUAGAGGUGAAAAUUCGUAGAUAUUCGCAAGAACACCAGUGGCGAAGGCGGCUCACUGGGCCAUUACUGACGCUGAGGCACGAAAGCGUGGGGAGCAAACAGGAUUAGAUACCCUGGUAGUCCACGCCGUAAAACGAUGAAUGCCAGCCGUUAGUGGGUUUUACUCACUAGUGGCGCAGCUAACGCUUUUAAGCAUUCCGCCUGGGGAGUACGGUCGCAAGAUUAAAAACUUAAAUGAAUUGACGGGGUCAUAGCUG
rnacentral:rRNA from 1 species